GCACUCGCUUCAGCAGCACAUAUACUAAAAUUGGAAUGAUACAAAGAUUAGCAUAGCCCCUGUGCAAGGAUGACAUGCAAAUCUGUGAAGCGUUCCAUAGUUUU